AACCUCCAAUAACCACGUGUUCGCAUCCCAUUGGACCUUUGUGUACGAAAUACAUUGUGCUCACAUCUUUCCACUCUUUCUUAGCAAGCACUUUCUCAUAAUUUAUAAACUCAUAAUAAACAUCUUGAAUCAAAUCAAAUCUUGCUCCCGUGAGUUCCAGUCCCAUUCAAUCAUUUCAGUUGAGGUUCAGAUCUGAGACAUGGCAGAAAAAGAAAAGGUUGGUAAUUGGUCCAGGAGCAGCAGCCAUCUUGAUUCUUGUAUAUAAUAUUAUUAUUUGUUUGUUUUUCUGAAAUUCUUAAUUGUAGUUUGCUUAUUGUCCCCUAAUUGUACAGGAGACGAUAAUGGUGCUGAAGGUGGACCUUCAGUGUCACAAAUGCUAUAAGAAGGUCAAAAAAGUUCUCUGCAAAUUCCCUCGUGAGUCUCUCUAUCUUUUCCUUUGUAUAACUCCCUCCAUGUAAUUAAACUGAGUAAAUGUGUGUGUUGUGGAAUUGGAUUUUGUGAACAAGAGAAAUACAAGACCAGAUAUACGACGAGAAGCAAAACCAGGUGGUCAUCAAAGUGGUAUGCUGUAGUCCAGAGAAGAUAAGGGACAGGAUACGCUGCAAAGGUGGGGGAGCCAUCAAGU
rnacentral:lncRNA from 1 species